rnacentral:misc_RNA from 1 species
AAGUCGUAACAAGGUUUCCGUAGGUGAACCUGCGGAAGGACCAUUAGUGAUAUAGAAAAUCUAUUUUCUAGUCUCUAUAUACACCCUUUUGUCAACUUAUACCUUUGUUGCUUCCACUGGACAGAUGGAUACGCCUAGUUGCGAGUCCAUCCUCUGGCCUCUUUACCGAGGACGGGGAGUGCCAGUGGAAAGAAUACAAUUAAAACUUUGUCUUUAGAAAACUUGUCUGACAAUUAUAUUUUUUAAUAAAAUAAAACUUUCAACAACGGAUCUCUAGGCUCUU